rnacentral:rRNA from 1 species
GACGAACGCUGGCGGCGUGCUUAACACAUGCAAGUCGAACGGAAAGGCCCUGCUUUUGUGGGGUGCUCGAGUGGCGAACGGGUGAGUAACAUGUGAGUAACCUGCCCUUGACUUUGGGAUAACUUCAGGAAACUGGGGCUAAUACCGGAUAGGAGCUCCUGCUGCAUGGUGGGGGUUGGAAAGUUUCGGCGGUUGGGGAUGGACUCGCGGCUUAUCAGCUUGUUGGUGGGGUAGUGGCUUACCAAGGCUUUGACGGGUAGCCGGCCUGAGAGGGUGACCGGCCACAUUGGGACUGAGAUACGGCCCAGACUCCUACGGGAGGCAGCAGUGGGGAAUAUUGCACAAUGGGCGGAAGCCUGAUGCAGCAACGCCGCGUGCGGGAUGACGGCCUUCGGGUUGUAAACCGCUUUCGCCUGUGACGAAGCGUGAGUGACGGUAAUGGGUAAAGAAGCACCGGCUAACUACGUGCCAGCAGCCACGGUGAUACGUAGGGUGCGAGCGUUGUCCGGAUUUAUUGGGCGUAAAGGGCUCGUAGGUGGUUGAUCGCGUCGGAAGUGUAAUCUUGGGGCUUAACCCUGAGCGUGCUUUCGAUACGGGUUGACUUGAGGAAGGUAGGGGAGAAUGGAAUUCCUGGUGGAGCGGUGGAAUGCGCAGAUAUCAGGAGGAACACCAGUGGCGAAGGCGGUUCUCUGGGCCUUUCCUGACGCUGAGGAGCGAAAGCGUGGGGAGCGAACAGGCUUAGAUACCCUGGUAGUCCACGCUGUAAACGGUGGGUACUAGGUGUGGGGUCCAUUCCACGGGUUCCGUGCCGUAGCUAACGCUUUAAGUACCCCGCCUGGGGAGUACGGCCGCAAGGCUAAAACUCAAAGGAAUUGACGGGGCCCCGCACAAGCGGCGGAGCAUGCGGAUUAAUUCGAUGCAACGCGUAGAACCUUACCUGGGUUUGACAUGGAUCGGAAGUGCUCAGAGAUGGGUGUGCCUCUUUUGGGGUCGGUUCACAGGUGGUGCAUGGCUGUCGUCAGCUCGUGUCGUGAGAUGUUGGGUUAAGUCCCGCAACGAGCGCAACCCUUGUUCACUGUUGCCAGCACGUUAUGGUGGGGACUCAGUGGAGACCGCCGGGGUCAACUCGGAGGAAGGUGGGGAUGACGUCAAGUCAUCAUGCCCCUUAUGUCCAGGGCUUCACGCAUGCUACAAUGGCUGGUACAGAGAGUGGCGAGCCUGUGAGGGUGAGCGAAUCUCGGAAAGCCGGUCUCAGUUCGGAUUGGGGUCUGCAACUCGACCUCAUGAAGUCGGAGUCGCUAGUAAUCGCAGAUCAGCAACGCUGCGGUGAAUACGUUCCCGGG